GCGUCCGUAGCUCAGCUGGAUAGAGUACCUGGCUACGAACCAGGCGGUCAGAGGUUCGAAUCCUCCGGACGCGCCA
rnacentral:tRNA from 1 species